UUGAGUUUAGAAUUUAGCUUUUAAGGUUUAGGGUUUAGAGUUUAGGGUUUAGGGUUUAGGGUUUAGGGUUUAGGGUUUAGCGUUUAGAGUUUAGGGUUUAGAGUUUAGGAUUUAGGGUUUAGGGUUUAGGAUUUAGGGUUUAGGGUUUAGAGUUGAGAAAUGAGGUUUUGGGGAUAAGAUUUCAAAUUUUAAAAAAUAAAAAAAUUAAAAUUUUCAAAAGAUAAAAUGUUAUUUUGGUCAUUUUAGUUUUUGAAUGCUAUUUUUGUGAUAUAAACUU
rnacentral:lncRNA from 1 species